AUUGUUUUGCCCUGAUGAUGACCUUAAAAUAUGUUGAAAGCUUGGCAAUAACAACUGAAUUUGCUUUUUUCUUCAAGUCCCUGCCUUGAUCCAGUGCUUCAGUAAAGUUUAUGGUGGAUGUUGGUCUGUGAAUAUAAGUCAAACUGGCACUGGAUCCAUCUACACUCGCCGGUUUCUAUGACAAUUCUUCAAGUUCUUCACUGAAAAUGGCACAAAGCUGAUAUGCAUUUGCAUACAUCAAAACCUGCAAGUGUAGACAAAUCUCAUAUAACGGUGGUAUAAUACGACAUUUUACAACAUACCCUUUGUCUACAUUUAUAAAGCAAAGCACACUGAAAAGGUAAAAAAAGAGAUAUAGCUUAAUGUUUUUUGUAUCUGCACGCUGAUAUAUGACAUGGCUUUGAAAAAUUAAAACAAACAACAAAU